UCAAGGUUCUAUCAGCGAUAAAUAAGGGAGGCUAAGGUAUUGAGGAACCAUCUAAUGUUAUUUACACUACCUACUUUCUAAUCUGCCUCAUCUACUUACCUUCCUCUUUCUCUUCCUGUAAUUUUAUUGCAUGGAAGAAAUUUUUUGAUGAAGACAAUUGUCUAUUUUUCUUAAAAUCAUUUUUUUAGCUAGUGGUAUGUCUCGAACACUUUCCUAAUAGUUUAUUGAGAUAAAGUCAUAACAUUUUUUUUUCUUUCUUCACUACCCUCACUCAUUGCCCCAUUGGGAUUGACUGCAAAUUGCAAUUUUCUGUAGAAAGAAUCAGUAAUCCUUUCUACACAGUGGCCUUGGUGAUUUCAAAACUUUAAGAACAUUUAAAAUAUUCAAGUUCUUUCCUCUAAAAACUGGUGACUUUCUGCUGCUGAGCUCCUGAAAGUUUUUGAGAAGAAAGUUGAAAGGUUGAAAAUGGUGCUGUGUUUAUUUGAAUAUCUAAAGGGUAAACUCCAAGCUACUUAUCUGAAAACAAAUAUUCUCUGAAACCUGCAGAGUAAAGAAGUAUAACUUGACAUUUCUUCUGCAAGAAAAAAACAAGAAGAUGGUGACUUUCAAGAUCUCAGCCAAUGACUAAAGCUCUGUGACCACAGUGAGCACAUUACUGCGGUAACCAGGGCAGUAAUGUCAAGACAAAGGUUGGGGUUGGCUUUAAGAAAGAAGCCUGAGAACCGGAACUACAUAGAGGCCAGAAAAUCAGUGUCUACAUGCUAAAGGCAAUUUGCAGGAACAAGUACCAGGAGCAGAUCAACAAAACAAAUAAGAUCAACAAAACAAAUAAGGAAGGUGGUUUUAUGAACCCAGAGGAGAGUUGGUGCAGGGAAUAGCUAAACUGGAAGUUAGAGCUGGGAUCUAGGAAACUCCAGAAGCUUUAAUCACAUUAAAUUGGUCCAUUGUGAGGAGCAAUUCAGGAGAUGCAGUAUUUAUGAGAGAGAAGCAGCCAGACUUGAAAUUGAAGAACUGAAGUCAAAUUCUGGCUCUCACCCUUAUUAUUUUAUUUUAUCAUAUUCUGACCAAUUCAACCAACAUUUGAGUGUCCACCAUAUAUGUAAGGGUGGUGAUGAAGGUCCUAAGAAUAAUGACACGUGACCCUGGAAAAGUUGCAAGCCUUGGCCAUCAGUGGUGGUGAAAGCAACAGAUGUCAGAUGUCAGAUGUCAGCCCCUGGCUUCCUGCCUUACCGUAGAGGGAUAUUCGACAGACUGGACAGCAGGUGGAAGAAAAAAAAAUUGAGGAAAUGAGUCUGUUUUCAGAAUAAGUAAACAUCAGCCCUUUUAAAAAGCGUGCUAUUUACCGUGUGUCAGGAGCAAUGCAGGAGGAACUUAUUUGAAAAUCAUGAGAGAGCUUCAUUUUAGAAGUGAAGAAGGCACUUGUGGGCUCUCAAUUCUUUGAUUGGAAUUCCACUUCCAGUUGUCUUGGGAUUUGAAAAUUUUAGUUGUUAGACUUUCUACAUCUUUCGUAUUUAAUUCCCUUCAAUGCAGUUUGGGCAACUAUUUUUC